rnacentral:lncRNA from 1 species
GCUCAACGAUCAAUCUAAUUAGAAGGUCUUCUCCCUUAUCACAAACAGUGAGUUCCUAUCAUUCUUCAUUUAAGAAAUUUCUCCAAAGACUUGUGCAUGCAUGUUAGUUUUGAGAAUUUUUACAAGAAAAUUAUGUUUUUGUUUUCGGGGAAAAAUGAGGAGUUUUUGAUGAAAUUUCUUUCAAUUAGAUUGUUAAGAAAUGUUUUAGGUGCAUGCAUUUGGUUUUAUUUACUAAUGGAUAGAAAAUUCUAUUUUUUUAUCCCAAAUAUUCAAUGCAUGAGAGGUGUUUGAUGAAAAUACUGCGAUAACUGCUGCAGGCAGGUCACGUGACCUACAGCUCGGCCUUCGCUAUUUGAGACUUCCUCUACCCACAUCUCUAUGUGCCCGCAGCACUUCCAUAUGGAGAAAGAUAAGCUUACCAUGUUCCAUCAAUAGCACCUAACCUAUGCCGAUUUUGGCGGACUGUGCUCCACCCCGGUGAACUCAUGCGGUUCCGACGUGCCCCGAGGCCAGAGGCGAAUCCAUUCACGGUCCGUAGGACCAACACCAUUCGAAGGUGGGCGGCCUACCUAGAACAGUCAUGUUUGACUGGGCUUACACACAUUCGCUCACUUACGCUGUCCCCCCUCAGCUCACCCUAGCCCCGGGCCGGAGCUUUGUGGUAUUUAAGUUUGGUUUAAUAAAUAAAAACAAAACUAUGUAAACAAGUCUUAGAAUCAGAUUUUUCAUGAAUUAUUGAUUUCGAAUUUUGAGAUGAGACCAACUAUGUUGUGUUUAUAGGCGAGUUCUUUUUAUUAAAGGGUUUUUGUUGUUGUUGUUGUUGUUACGAUUAGGG